rnacentral:rRNA from 1 species
UACGUAGGGUGCGAGCGUUAAUCGGAAUUACUGGGCGUAAAGCGUGCGCAGGCGGUUUUGUAAGCCAGAUGUGAAAUCCCCGGGCUUAACCUGGGAAUGGCAUUUGGGACUGCAAGGCUCGAGUGCGGCAGAGGAGACUGGAAUUCCUGGUGUAGCAGUGAAAUGCGUAGAGAUCGGCAGGAACACCCAGGGGGAAACCAGCCGACUGGGCAUCUACUGACGCUGAGGUGCGAGAGCGUGGGGAGCGAACCGG